AGCUCACAGCUGCAGUGUGUCUUGUGACACAGGGACCAUGACGGAAAUUCAUUUUGAAAGUCCCAGAGCAGCGUCCACACCCCCUAAAAAGACCAAGAUGUGAGGUGUCUGCUGUUGAUUCCAGCUUCCACCUCAGUGACAGCGUAAGCUCAGUGAACUGUUCAAGGAGGCUACUGAUUCUGGCCCUGUGACACUUGGUGGUGACGUGUGAGCUGAUUCACCUGGACACUCGGCAAAAUAUGGACUCUACACCAUGAGGCAGGCACAUGUUAAUAACUCUAUAAGAGCACAUAAGGUGAGCAACACCACAUAUUAUUGUUAUUACUGUACACUGUCCUGGAUUAGUUUUCUUUCUGCAUCUCAUCAUUAGCCUGGCUGAUCACCUGAUAACUCCUGUCAUCUGGUUAUGACAGCAUGAGGAUGUCCUCACACACCUGUAACCUAUCAGCUCAUCUGGCAGAAUAGAGAGAAGAGACAACACCACAUCUCCUGUUCCUGGAAAGCCUUCAGCCAUCCUUCGAUGACUGAGAACUUCCAUCAGCUCUGUCUGCUGUCUGCCUACAAUUAUUAUAAUAAAUAUUGUGUUUGACAAGUUUUUUGUGCUGCCAAAAUGUCUAAUUUUGAUUCCAGUUUUAUAUUUUAAAGGAGACAUAACAUGAAAACCCCACUUUUUUAUCCAUUACACAGUGUGUUUCACAUUUUAAGUGUCUACGUGAGCAAAAAGGCUUAUAUUAUUCACUGGAGUUGCUAUUUAGAAAUCUAAUAAUUAAGUUUUGGGCAUAUUUGUCCACCCGUUCAGUUUUUCUAAUUAUCUUUUACAUCAGUAAUUUAUUUCGUCAGGAUAACUACAAGGGAUGAGCGAGUACACCACUAUCUGUAUCUGUUCAACCAACUAAAUUAUCUGUAUCUGUAUCUGUACUCGGAAUGGGCGUGGCAUAACCCGGAAGUGGGCGUGGUUUACAUCAUUGUAUUAUUUUAAGUCUGAAAUUGAUAUGGAUUGAUCAGAAGUUGAUAUGUGUAUUGUUUAUUUGAAAACUAUUUACAGAGCAGCCUCAGAAUUGAGAUUACAUAUUUUUGAUCACAAUAGUAAAGAAACUAUUACAGAACAAGUGUUUCAGUAAAAUCAGAACAUUAAUAUUUAAGUGCAUGGAUUAAAGCAUCUGAACUCAUGCAGUAGGAACUAGGAAAUAUGAAAUGCUAGAACCUGACACAAGUUUAUAUAUAUAUUUUAAUUUUAAUUUGAUUAAACUGAUUUUUUUCUUAACGUUCUUGGCAUUUUCCCACACAAAGUUAAACAAAACAAUGUUGAUUAGUGUGUGUGUGUGUG